GAAGUCCACAAGUUGGUAGAGCAGGAGACUCUUAAUCUCAGGAAUGUGGAUUCGAACCCCACGUUGAGCA